UACGUAGGGUGCAAGCGUUGUCCGGAAUUAUUGGGCGUAAAGAGCUCGUAGGCGGCUUGUCGCGUCGACUGUGAAAUCCCAGGGCUCAACCCUGGGCCUGCAGUCGAUACGGGCAGGCUAGAGUGCAGUAGGGGAGACUGGAAUUCCUGGUGUAGCGGUGAAAUGCGCAGAUAUCAGGAGGAACACCGGUGGCGAAGGCGGGUCUCUGGACAGUUCCUGACGCUGAGGCACGAAGGUCAGGGGAGCAAACGGG
rnacentral:rRNA from 1 species